rnacentral:rRNA from 1 species
UACGAAGGGGGCUAGCGUUGCUCGGAAUUACUGGGCGGAAAGGGCGCGUAGGCGGCCUUCUAAGUCGAACGUGAAAUCCCUGGGCUCAACCCAGGAACUGCGUCCGAUACUGAAAGGCUUGAAUCCGGGAGAGGGAUGCGGAAUUCCAGGUGUAGCGGUGAAAUGCGUAGAUAUCUGGAGGAACACCGGUGGCGAAGGCGGCAUCCUGGACCGGUAUUGACGCUGAGGCGCGAAAGCCAGGGGAGCAAACGGG